rnacentral:misc_RNA from 1 species
GAAAGAAAAACAGAGAUCUUGAUUAUUGUAUCAGAAUAUAUACAUUAUAGCUUCAGUAAUCAUUUUCUGACAAAGGGGUAUAAAAUAAUAUAAGAUCUUUUGAGGGUUUCUCAUGGAGAAAUUUACAGAGCCAGUUUCGCAUGCUGGCCGCCUCCAAGAAUCACACCAUGCCAAGAAUUAACACCUUAUAUAAAAAUGGAGGUGGACAGAAUGCCAAAAUGGCUCUGCAAUAAGGCCCCUAAGAAACCCUAAGAGAAAGAAAGAGAGCUGAAUAUUGAAGAAGAGAUAGCUAGCUAGACUUGUG